rnacentral:rRNA from 1 species
AAACACGGACCAAGGAGUCUAACAUGUGCGCGWGUCAUUGGGUUGACACUAAACCUAAAGGCGCAAUGAAAGUGAAGGUCCCGCCUCGUGCGGACCGAGGGAAGAUGGGCCGCGCUGCUGUGCGGCUCCGCAUUCCCGGGGCGUCUCGUUCUCAUUGCGAGUUGAGGCGCACCCAGAGCGUACACGUUGGGACCCGAAAGAUGGUGAACUAUGCCUGGCCAGGACGAAGUCAGGGGAAACCCUGAUGGAGGUCCGUAGCGAUUCUGACGUGCAAAUCGAUCGUCGGAGCUGGGUAUARRRGCGAAAGACUAAUCGAACCAUCUAGUAGCUGGU